rnacentral:rRNA from 1 species
GUCGCGAGUGGCGUGAACUUCGUAUUGGGGGAACGAGAAGCUAUUAGAGUAUCCCAGAACUAGAAACAACGAAGGCGGGCCCGGCACAGCCAGGGCGCGGUUGGCCAGCGGGGAAGAACGUCACCCAACGCCCGGCUACCUCCUCCUUCGCCGUCGCGACGACCUCCAGUUUAACCGCGGAGACCACCGACGCAGCGGCCAACUGCCCUGCCGAGGUACAUGUGGGGUAUACGGUGAAGAAGAAUGUCAUCACGGUUCCGUGUGCGUCACAGGUCCCGACCACCAGCAACGUUGUACUGGUGGUGGGUCUACAGGCCGGAGUCAGGCAACCGGCCCUCCUCCGCCGCAGAUCUUCCUGUGGCGGUAGCAGGGGGUAACGUCUACCUUGUUCAGUACCAGUAACCUGGGCGCUCCACGUAGAUAGCGCGGAAGUCGUCGUGCUCCUCUACACGAUGCUCAACGACCACCACCGCGGUACCCUAGGUCACGGACCCAAGGGGGCGGCAACCGCAGCAACCACAGCCCAGCGGGAACAACCUCACGCCUAUGUCGUAGAGGGUCUAGCCGCUGCGCGGCGAGGUCUAGCCCGGCGGUGCGACGGUCCAGUAGGUCCGCCCACCACUGACGGCACUGCCGGUAGCACAACCGGAGGUAGCACCUCCAACUCCUAAACCACGGCGACGGGGAUCGUCCGGGUUACCAUGAUGAAAGCUGAGCGACCCGCUUCGUAUACUAAAGAUGUUGAACAUAAGAACACUUUUUCCAAAACCCUAGUCGAUACCGUUUUCGGCUGACUUACAACUCUCCUGCUUCACGUACCAUUUGGACCACGCCUCUUGUGUGCCAGGACGGAAACGUUUACGGGCCGUGAGUUAUCCAACUACGCCUACCUCCUGUUAUGCACCAUAUAACGACUAGGAGCCCUCUCAGUGUUAGUAAGCGGGGCGGUCUGAAACCGCUCUACUAUGUGACCGUAACGUGUUCGUGUAACUACACAUUUCAUCUCUGGACUAUUUCCUCGACUCCGCCUUGUUACAGUUGGAAGACUUCCAAAUAUUUGUAGUAUCCGUCGAAAAAACCUAGAUACCUUUUACACAGCAAGUAAUUCUCCAUAAACACUUUUAGACACACUUUGCUAUUCGUCUUUCGUCCGUCUACUAUUACACUCCUUCUGCUACCUCCAAAAACGUUUUUAACCCCGUUUCCUAGGUGUGAAGUUUAACCUCAUGUCUCAAGUCGGACUGUUGCUCCCGUACUAGUUCUUGGAUUACACCCGUUCGCCCUCGUUGUACAACGUCAUGUGUAAAAAGCCGCUGUAGUAUUGUAAGCCGUGGUGUAUGUCCGGGUUAAACAUGCUGUACGGAAGCCGGAUAAACAACCACAGUUAUUAGUAAAGGUCUUACAGUACAACCAAUCCCACGAACAUGUACUACUCGGGCGUUUCUCAAAACUUACCCCAAAGAGAUUUAAAGACUCUUACUACCCGUCGUGUCGCGGCUACCAACUUCAUAUACUCCGAUGUUAAACUAUCUCUCAGCCUUCUCUUAAUACAAAUUUCUUAAUACACGGAGGUCCAUUAGGUUACGUAUAUAAACACCUGAACCUUGUACAUCGGUGUUGAAGUUAAUCGUACUCAGCUUCCACUUUAGACGGUCCCGUCUCUGGAAACGUCACCGCCUCCUUUACAACCUAAGGUAGUACUUCUGCCAGACGAUGUCCAAACAAAACUUCGAUACUCGCCGAUCUGGGCCUCCCAAUCUUAAGUCGUUCGUGGACAUCUAACACUAGAAUACUUGGGUUUAUCCUUUUCACGAGACCUUGAUAGUUACUCCCGCAAGUAUUAUUUCGCUCUACCGUUACAACACUUGGGAGGGUAACCUUGUAGCAAACUAAGAAACCUAUUCUGCUACACGGUUCUCGAGGUUCCUUUAACGACUUCACAAACUUUAUACCUCACGAGCCCGUGGCCUCCUUACAGACGCCGUUUGUAAGUCUAGGUAAACUCCGAUCGGCUAUAAGAAAUCGUAGUGAAAAUAGUUUUGUCAUUCUCUUUACAAGUAAGGAAACGUAACACAAACAUUAAACAAGGUAAGGACUCGAAACAUCCGUACGUAUUGUAAUCAUGUAACACACAAGAAUUAAUGCACCAUGGCGGCUUUCACACUCAACGAAACCAUAAAAAGACGGGAAACAAUCAUUUGUUUAAUACCAAGCAACUCCUUUAACGUUAUCAAACUC